GAUGAACGCUGGCGGCGUGCCUAAUACAUGCAAGUCGAGCGAAUGGAUUAAGAGCUUGCUCUUAUGAAGUUAGCGGCGGACGGGUGAGUAACACGUGGGUAACCUGCCCAUAAGACUGGGAUAACUCCGGGAAACCGGGGCUAAUACCGGAUAACAUUUUGAACCGCAUGGUUCGAAAUUGAAAGGCGGCUUCGGCUGUCACUUAUGGAUGGACACGCCGCGCAUUAGCUAGUGGGUGAGGUAACGGCUCACCAAGGCAACGAUGCGUAGCCGACCGGAGAGGGUGAUCGGCCACACUGGGACUGAGACACGGCCCAGACUCCUACGGGAGGCAGCAGUAGGGAAUCUUCCGCAAUGACGAAAGUCUGACGGAGCAACGCCGCGUGAGUGAUGAAGGCUUUCGGGUCGUAAAACUCUGUUGUUAGGGAAGAACAAGUGCUAGUUGAAUAAGCUGGCACCUUGACGGUACCUAACCAGAAAGCCACGGCUAACUACGUGCCAGCAGCCGCCGUAA
rnacentral:rRNA from 1 species